CUUUGGGAGGCUGAGGUGGGCGGAUCACCUGAGGUCAGAAGUUCAAGACCAGCCUGGCCAACAUGAGGAAACCACACCUCUACUAAAAGAACAAAAAUUAGCUGGGCGUGGUGGCAGGUGCCUGUAAUCCCAGCUACUUGGGAGACUGAGGCAGGAGAAUUGCCUGAACCCAGGAGGCAGAGGUUGCAGUGAGCUGAGAUCGUGCCAUUGCACUCCAGCCUGGGUAACAAGAGCGAAACUCCAUCUCAAAAAAAAAAAAAGAACAAAAUUUAUUUUCUUACAGUUCUAGAGGCCAGAACUGUAAGAAAUUUAGUCCCAAAUUGAUCUCAGUGGGCCAAAGUCAAGGUGUUGUGGGGUCAGUUCCUCCUGAGGCUCUGGAGGAAAAUCUGUUUCCUUGCCUGUUUCAAUUUCUGGUGGGCACCUACAAUCCUUGGCUCAUGGCCUUUUGCUCGAAUGCACCACUGCUUCCAUCAGCAUUCGGCCUUUGGCCUUCUCUCUCUCUCACAGCCAAGCCUCCCUCUUCGUUUUAAAAGGACUCUCAUGGUUACAUUUAGGGCCCACCUGGGUAAUCCAAGAUCAUCCCCUCAUCUUAAGAUUCUUAACUUAAUCACACCUGCAAAGUCCCUUUGUCACGUAGGGUAACAUACACAGUUUCCAGGGAUGGGGACCUGGAACUGCUGUAUCUCAGACGCUGAGGUCUCUGGGGGCUACUGUUCAGCCUUCCACAGGGGCUUGUCAAAAGUUCGCAGAGUUACUGAACGCGAAACCUCGUUAGCCAAUCCCAGAAUGGCUUUGCCUAAUACGUGCUGAAGGGCAGUGGUGUGAUCUCGGCUCACUGCCUGCAACCUCUGCCUCCCAGGUUCAAGUGAUUCUCCUGCCUCAGCCUCCUGAAUAGCUGGAAUUACAGAUUCCAUCAUGGGAAGGAGGAGGGGAAGAUCCUGGAAGAUGGAGCAGAAGCCUAGCAAGAAGCCGAGGUCUCACCUGGCAAGCACUGAGCAGUCUCAACUGGCAAAAUCAAGGUUUCUCCAUCACAGGCUUGGGACUCGAGAGCAAGGGAAGCGGUUACAGACAACACAGCAAG